rnacentral:rRNA from 1 species
ACGGGUGAGUAACACGUGGGCAAUCUGCCCUUCACUCUGGGACAAGCCCUGGAAACGGGGUCUAAUACCGGAUAUCACUGCCACUCGCAUGGGUGGUGGUUGAAAGCUCCGGCGGUGAAGGAUGAGCCCGCGGCCUAUCAGCUUGUUGGUGAGGUAAUGGCUCACCAAGGCGACGACGGGUAGCCGGCCUGAGAGGGCGACCGGCCACACUGGGACUGAGACACGGCCCAGACUCCUACGGGAGGCAGCAGUGGGGAAUAUUGCACAAUGGGCGAAAGCCUGAUGCAGCGACGCCGCGUGAGGGAUGACGGCCUUCGGGUUGUAAACCUCUUUCAGCAGGGAAGAAGCGAAAGUGACGGUACCUGCAGAAGAAGCGCCGGCUAACUACGUGCCAGCAGCCGCGGUAAUACGUAGGGCGCAAGCGUUGUCCGGAAUUAUUGGGCGUAAAGAGCUCGUAGGCGGCUUGUCACGUCGGGUGUGAAAGCCCGGGGCUUAACCCCGGGUCUGCAUUCGAUACGGGCUAGCUAGAGUGUGGUAGGGGAGAUCGGAAUUCCUGGUGUAGCGGUGAAAUGCGCAGA